rnacentral:tRNA from 1 species
CGCGGGGUGGAGCAGUCUGGUAGCUCGUUGGGCUCAUAACCCAAAGGUCGGAGGUUCAAAUCCUCCCCCCGCAACCA